GAUUAUGGCUCAGGAUGAACGCUGGCGGCACGCCUAACACAUGCAAGUCGAACGGAGUUAAGAGAGCUUGCUUUUUAAACUUAGUGGCGGACGGGUGAGUAACACGUGAGCAACCUGCCUUUCAGAGAGGAAUAGCUUCUGGAAACGGAUGGUAAUACCUCAUAACAUAUUGGUACGGCAUCGUAUUAAUAUCAAAGAUUUAUCGCUGAAAGAUGGGCUCGCGUCUGAUUAGCUGGUUGGUGAGGUAACGGCCCACCAAGGCAACGAUCAGUAGCCGGACUGAGAGGUUGAACGGCCACAUUGGGACUGAGACACGGCCCAGACUCCUACGGGAGGCAGCAGUGGGGAAUAUUGCACAAUGGGCGCAAGCCCUGAUGCAGCGAUGCCGCGUGAGGGAAGAAGGUUUUCGGAUUGUAAACCUCUGUCAUCGGGGACGAAAAUGACGGUACCCGAGAAGGAAGCUCCGGCUAACUACGUGCCAGCCGCGGC
rnacentral:rRNA from 1 species